rnacentral:tRNA from 1 species
UGGCGUAGCGCCCAAAGCCUCGGCUUGCUAAGCCGAAGGUCCCGGGUUCGAUUCCCGG